rnacentral:rRNA from 1 species
AGCGCGGCUACCAUGCAAGUCGAGCGAUGAAGCUUCUUUCGGGAAGUGGAUUAGCGGCGGACCCUUUUGUAACACGUGGGUAACCUGCCUCAAAGAGGGGGAUAGUUCUCCGAAAGGAGGAGUAAUACCGCAUAAUAUAUUUUAAUCGCAUGAUUAAAAUAUCAAAGAUUUAUCACUUUGAGAUGGACCCGCGUCGCAUUAGCUAGUUGGUAAGGUAACGGCUUACCAAGGCGACGAUGCGUAGCCGACCUGAGAGGGUGAUCGGCCACAUUGGGACUGAGACACGGCCCAGACUCCUACGGGAGGCAGCAGUGGGGAAUAUUGCGCAAUGGGGGAAACCCUGACGCAGCAACGCCGCGUGGGUGAUGAAGGUUUUCGGAUUGUAAAGCCCUGUUCUAUGGGACGAUAAUGACGGUACCAUAGGAGAAAGCCACGGCUAACUACGUGCCAGCAGCCGCGGUAAUACGUAGGUGGCAAGCGUUGUCCGGAAUUACUGGGCGUAAAGAGUAUGUAGGCG